UACGGGGGGAGCAAGCGUUGUUCGGAUUUACUGGGCGUAAAGGGCGCGUAGGCGGUCAGCACAAGUCAAUUGUGAAAUCUCCGAGCUUAACUCGGAAAGGUCAACUGAAACUGUGCGACUAGAGUGCGGAAGGGGCAACUGGAAUUCUUGGUGUAGCGGUGAAAUGCGUAGAGAUCUCCAAGAACACCAGUUGCGAAGGCGGCUGACUGGACUCAUAUUGACGCUGAGGCUCGAAAGCAUGGGGAGCAAACAGG
rnacentral:rRNA from 1 species